UGGGGAAUUUUGGACAAUGGGCGAAAGCCUGAUCCAGCAAUGCCGCGUGUGUGAAGAAGGCCUUCGGGUUGUAAAGCACUUUUGUCCGGAAAGAAAUCCUUGGCUCUAAUACAGUCGGGGGAUGACGGUACCGGAAGAAUAAGCACCGGCUAACUACGUGCCAGCAGCCGCGGUAAUACGUAGGGUGCAAGCGUUAAUCGGAAUUACUGGGCGUAAAGCGUGCGCAGGCGGUUUGCUAAGACCGAUGUGAAAUCCCCGGGCUCAACCUGGGAACUGCAUUGGUGACUGGCAGGCUAGAGUAUGGCAGAGGGGGGUAGAAUUCCACGUGUAGCAGUGAAAUGCGUAGAGAUGUGGAGGAAUACCGAUGGCGAAGGCAGCCCCCUGGGCCAAUACUGACGCUCAUGCACGAAAGCGUGGGGAGCAAACAGGAUUAGAUACCCUGGUAGUCCACGCCCUAAAACGAUGUCAACUAGUUGUUGGGGAUUCAUUUCCUUAGUAACGCAGCUAACGCGUGAAGUUGACCGCCUGGGGAGUACGGUCGCAAGAUUAAAACUUAAAUGAAUUGACGGGGUCAUAGCUG
rnacentral:rRNA from 1 species